UGAGGAAUAUUGGUCAAUGGGCGCGAGCCUGAACCAGCCAAGUAGCGUGAAGGAUGAAGGUCCUGUGGAUUGUAAACUUCUUUUAUAGCAGAAUAAAGUGACCCACGUGUGGGUUUUUGUAUGUAUGCUAUGAAUAAGGAUCGGCUAACUCCGUGCCAGCAGCCGCGGUAAUACGGAGGAUCCGAGCGUUAUCCGGAUUUAUUGGGUUUAAAGGGUGCGUAGGCGGAAAGAUAAGUCAGCCUGUGAAAGUUUGCGGCUCAACCGUAAAAUUGCAGUUGAUACUGUUUUUCUUGAGUGUACAUAAGGUAGGCGGAAUUCGUGGUGUAGCGGUGAAAUGCUUAGAUAUCACGAAGAACUCCGAUUGCGAAGGCAGCUUACCGGGGUACAACUGACGCUGAUGCACGAAAGUGUGGGUAUCAAACA
rnacentral:rRNA from 1 species